CAGUGUCAUUUCUAGAGACAAAUCCAAGUAAUUUAUGAUCAGGUUUUGAGGAGGUAGACUAGCAGCGGAUAGUUUAUGGCUCCGACGAAGGCAUAAAGCGAUGUGGUAUCCGAGGAAAAAGAGAACCAAGACCUUCAGAGAGCUCACUGGAGACCAAUUGCAGGUACAAUUUAUUUUCCAAAAAUUUGGGGGGAUUCAGCUGAACCCCCCACGUAGGAUUGUGCAAAGAAGGGGGAUAACUCUGUCAGAUUUUCACUGAACAUUUCAGAACUCUUGUAUGAUUCGGUUUCAUGAUAGUUUUGGACUCAGAUUAGAUACCCCCUCCCUGUUUAGGAGGUUCAUAAACAAACUCGAGUUCCGAGCCUUUAUACCUUCGUAAACAAACUCGAGUUCCGAGCCUUUAAAACUCGAUCAUCGAGUCUUUCGGGAGAACAAACAUCGUUCUUACUUCUGAAGCACCUAG